rnacentral:rRNA from 1 species
GACGAACGCUGGUGGCGUGCCUAAUACAUGCAAGUAGAACGCUGAAGGAGGAGCUUGCUUCUCUGGAUGAGUUGCGAACGGGUGAGUAACGCGUAGGUAACCUGCCUGGUAGCGGGGGAUAACUAUUGGAAACGAUAGCUAAUACCGCAUAAUAUUGACUAUUGCAUGAUAGUCAGUUGAAAGGUGCAACUGCACCACUACCAGAUGGACCUGCGUUGUAUUAGCUAGUUGGUGGGGUAACGGCUCACCAAGGCGACGAUACAUAGCCGACCUGAGAGGGUGAUCGGCCACACUGGGACUGAGACACGGCCCAGACUCCUACGGGAGGCAGCAGUAGGGAAUCUUCGGCAAUGGACGGAAGUCUGACCGAGCAACGCCGCGUGAGUGAAGAAGGUUUUCGGAUCGUAAAGCUCUGUUGUAAGAGAAGAACGAGUGUGAGAGUGGAAAGCUCACACUGUGACGGUAUCUUACCAGAAAGGGACGGCUAACUACGUG